rnacentral:rRNA from 1 species
GAUGAAUGCUGGCGGCGUGCCUAACACAUGCAAGUCAAGCGGCAGCGCGAGUAGUUUACUACUUGGCGGCGAGCGGCGGACGGCUGAGUAACGCGUGGGAACGUGCCCCAAAGUGAGGGAUAACGCACCGAAAGGUGUGCUAAUACCGCAUAUGAUCUUCGGAUUAAAGAAUUUAUUCGCUUUGGGAGCGGCCCGCGUCGGAUUAGGUAGUUGGUAGGGUAAUGGCCUACCAAGCCGACGAUCCGUAGCUGGUCUGAGAGGAUGACCAGCCAGACUGGAACUGAGACACGGUCCAGACUCCUACGGGAGGCAGCAGUGAGGAAUCUGCCACAAUGGGCGAAAGCCUGAUGGAGCAACGCCGCGUGCAGGAUGAAGGCCUUCGGGUUGUAAACUGCUUUUAUAAGUGAAGAAUAUGACGGUAACUUAUGAAUAAGCACCGGCUAACUACGUGCCAGCAGCCGCCGUAA